rnacentral:snoRNA from 1 species
UAUCAAAACUCACGUGAAACUAGAGUUGUUGCUGUUUUCCUCCUUCUUCAUUUGAACUAGGAACGCGUCUACAUAGUCUUCUCCUUCCCCCUCGAUAACA